rnacentral:rRNA from 1 species
AUUGAACGCUGGUGGCAGGCCUAACACAUGCAAGUCGAGCGAGCGGCGGACGGGUGAGUAAUGUCUGGGAAACUGCCUGAUGGCGGGGGAUAACUACUGGAAACGGUAGCUAAUACCGCAUACCAUCAGAUUUGCCCAGAUGGGAUUAGCUAGUAGGUGGGGUAACGGACCACCUAGGCGACGAUCCCUACCUGGGCUGAGAGGAUGACCAGUAAAACUGGGACUGAGAGUCGGUCCAGACUCCAACGGGACCCAGCAGUGGGGAACCGGGCGAAUCGGGUGAAAGCCUGAUACAGCAACGCCGCGGGUGUGAAGAAGGACUUCGGGUGGUAAAGCUCUUUCGGCGAUGAGGCGUUACCCGGUGAGGAAGCACCGGCUACCUACGUGCCAGCAGCCGCGGUAAUUC